GAUGAACGCUGGCGGCGUGCCUAAUACAUGCAAGUCGAGCGAACAGACGAGGAGCUUGCUCCUCUGACGUUAGCGGCGGACGGGUGAGUAACACGUGGAUAACCUACCUAUAAGACUGGGAUAACUUCGGGAAACCGGAGCUCAUACCGGAUAAUAUAUUGAACCGCAUGGUUCAAUAGUGCAAGCCGGUUUUGCUGUCACUUAUAGAUGGAUCCGCGCCGCAUUAGCUAGUUGGUACGGUAACGGCUUACCAAGGCAACGAUGCGUAGCCGACCUGAGAGGGUGAUCGGCCACACUGGAACUGAGACACGGUCCAGACUCCUACGGGAGGCAGCAGUAGGGAAUCUUCCGCAAUGGGCGAAAGCCUGACGGAGCAACGCCGCGUGAGUGAUGAAGGUCUUCGGAUCGUAAAGCUCUGUUAUUAGGGAAGAACAAAUGUGUAAGUAACUAUGCACGGCUUGACGGUACCUAAUCAGAAAGCCACGGCUAACUACGUG
rnacentral:rRNA from 1 species